rnacentral:rRNA from 1 species
GGCCACAGCCAGAUCACCCUGCAGCCCAAAACCAGCCCGAGACCUUACUGUAGAUAAGCAGGAUUGAGCCUGGUCUGGGAUGGGAGACCACAUGGAAAAACAAGAUUGCUGUUGGAA